UUUAAGGUCUGGCCUGCCCAAUGAUUAUUUAAAUGGCCGCAGUAUCUUGACUGUGCAAAGGUAGCAUAAUCAUUAGUUUCUUAAUUGGAAGCUGGAAUGAAAGGUUUGAUGAAAAAUUGACUGUCUUUAUUUAUUGUUUUAGAAUUUUAUUUUUAAGUAAAAAAGCUUGGAUUUUUAAUAUAGACGAGAAGACCCUAUAGAGUUUUAUUAAUAAGUUAUUAUUAUUUUAUGGUUCAUAUUUUUUAAUUUUUUAAUUUUGUUGGGGUGAUAUGUGAAUUUUACAAACUUUAUAAAUUUAUAUUCAUUAAUUUGUGUAUAGUUGAUCCUUAUAUUUGGAUUAUAAGAUUAAAUUACCUUAGGGAUAACAGCGUAAUUUUUUUUGAAAGUUCUUAUUGAUAAAAAAGUUUGCGACCUCGAUGUUGGAUUAAAAUUAAUAUUUGGUGUAGUAGCUUUAAUAUUAGGUCUGUUCGACCUUUAAAAUUUUACA
rnacentral:rRNA from 1 species